AAAGCCUUAGCUUAAUUAAAGCGCCUGAUUUGCAUUCAGGAAAUGUAAGUUAAAGUCUUGCAGGUUUUA
rnacentral:tRNA from 1 species